rnacentral:misc_RNA from 1 species
GGGUUCACGAGGUCCUGCAUAAGUCCUUGAAGAAGUCAAUUUCAGGGUAAAAUUGGAAAUCAAAUCAAAUUGAAGCCAAAUCGAGGUACUUAUAAAUUCAAAGGAAGGGCAGACCAUUUAGCUCCAGUAAUAAGAGACUCAAUCUACCUGUGAGCAGGGAGGGUGCCUGGCAAUGGUUUAAAUAAGAUGUACUUUUAAAAAAGUAGCAAUACAAUAAUGAUAAUAAUGCAGCAGCAAUAGUUACUACUUACUACAAUUUGUUACUUUAAUACAUACAAUUCCAUGAAUAUCAGAUGGGUUUGUAUCAUUCAG